rnacentral:ncRNA from 1 species
CAAUAUGCAGUUGCUUUGGGUCCUGCACCAACAUGUGCAGGCUAGAGGGAAACCGGUGAAAAACCGGUACUGCCCCCGCAACUGUAAGCGGCAAGCCAAGCUCCGUUGCCACUGACGCAUCCGCGUCGGGAAGGGGAUCUUGGCGCUUGAGCCGCGAAGUCAGGAGACCUGCCUGAAGCGUGAGAAACGA